rnacentral:rRNA from 2 species
AGGUGGUUAUUGCGGCGGUGUCCCACCUCUUCCCAUUCCGAACAGAGAAGUUAAGCCCGCUUGCGCCGAUGGUACUGCAAUGCAAUGCGGGAGAGUAGGCAGCCGCC